UGGAUUAAACAAUUUUUCUUACAUCUCCCCCGCCCGGAGCCCAGGUAUCAUAUACACCCCCAAAAUAAAGAGCCUUGAAUACUAGAAGAAAAGCACCUAUACCG
rnacentral:sRNA from 1 species